rnacentral:lncRNA from 1 species
AAAAUAAUUUCAUUAUGUCUCAUAAAUUUACAAUUCUAAAAUCAAUUUACAAUUACAAUUCUAAAAUCAAAUCAAAUUACAAUUUACAAUUACAAUCAAUUUUAAAUCAAUUUAAGCCAGUCUGCUUUGGCUCUGUUUUGUUGCUGUCCUUAUUGCUGCCUUUCUGUUCCUGAUGCAGUAUCAUGGUUAAGACACUAGCCUUUGUUUUUGAACUAAUUAGAGAAACAAAAAAAACAUAAUUUUUGAGUCAGGGUGGGUACACAUUAUGCAAAACAAAGAGACAAAUUUUUUAGUUUAAAAAAAAAAAAGAAACUAAAAGACAAAUAAAAGCUCAGCAAUGAACAAAUCAAAACAAAUAAGCUAAAACUAUGAAGGUAUCAAAGGUGCAGAAAAAUGCAGAUGAUGAGCAAAGAAAACGAAACAUCAAACAAAAAAUUGAUGGAGAAGGACCAAGGCAAGCAAGAAAGCAACUAAACACAUAAAAACUCUAUAAACACACCCUAUCAAAUUUCAAAAAGGUAGGAGAAGAGGAGAGAUCUGAAAUUAACUCUACUAAAAAAUACACAUCCAAAGAAGGAGAGGGAAAAAAAAAACGAAAGAAAAAUAAAACAGAGAAGAAAACCAUUCUGAGGUUUCAAUCGAGCUGCACACCGUCGUGCACUGCCGCCUCUAUCCUCACCAUGGCCUCUGGUAUCCGGAAAAGCAGGUACUUUCUCCCUUCUUCAUGUUUGCUUUUCUUUUCAUGUGUUACUAAAACUGCGAAUUUCUUUAUAUUGGAAAGAAAAGUUGAAACUAGAGUUUAAGUGAAAAAAUAAAAUAAAAGCUUUUGUUUUUCUGCUAUCAAUGCUUCUUUUCUUUUUUAUUUGGCUUUUAUUUGUUUUUUAUUAUUAAAAACAUCAAGUUGUAUCCUUAGUAUUUUUCUGGCUUUUAGCAUAUAGACGUGACUGCACUCCUUUUCCUACACAUUAGCUUAGCUAGUAGUUAGCUUAGUUAGUAAUGAGCCUGUAUCUUUAUUCUGAUACUUCAUGCC